rnacentral:rRNA from 1 species
UACGUAGGUCCCGAGCGUUGUCCGGAUUUAUUGGGCGUAAAGCGAGCGCAGGUGGUUUAUUAAGUCUGGUGUAAAAGGCAGUGGCUCAGCCAUUGUAUGCAUUGGAAACUGGUAGACUUGAGUGCAGGAGAGGAGAGUGGAAUUCCAUGUGUAGCGGUGAAAUGCGUAGAUAUAUGGAGGAACACCGGUGGCGAAAGCGGCUCUCUGGCCUGUAACUGACACUGAGGCUCGAAAGCGUGGGGAGCAAACAGG